rnacentral:rRNA from 1 species
UACGUAGGGGGCAAGCGUUAUCCGGAUUUACUGGGUGUAAAGGGGGCGCAGACGGCGAUGCAGGCCAGGAGUGAAAGCCCGGGGCCCAACCCCGGGACUGCUCUUGAAACUGCGUGGCUGGAGUGCAGGAGGGGCAGGCGGAAUUCCUGGUGUAGCGGUGAAAUGCGUAGAUAUCAGGAGGAACACCGGUGGCGAAGGCGGCCUGCUGGACUGCAACUGACGUUGAGGCCCGAAAGCGUGGGGAGCAAACAGG